rnacentral:tRNA from 1 species
GCCUCGGUAGUACAAUGGAAUAGCACAGCAGACCGGUUACCUGUAAGUGCGAGUUCGAAUCUCACCUGAGGUU